GUCUGCACUCCAACUAACCCAACAAUGUGCAGCUGUGGAUGGGAAGUCCAAGAGUCUAGAAGUUUCUCAGUCCCACGAGCUUACAUGUUUCAGCUGGCCUUCUGUAUAAGCUGGAAUCCUGAAAAGAUGCUUCUGCAAACAAUGAAGAAAUGGCCGUCUCACCUGUACUUCCUGUCAGGAUGACAUUGGUGGGAUCUUAGAGAAUGUAGAGCUUGGCUUUGUCAGAACACCCAAUGUGACCUAAGUCUGGAUAACUGCAACUCGAAUCUCCACACUGCCAUGCCCCCACUAGAAAGUACACAUUAUCAUCAUGCCAAAGAUGCCAAGAAAAACUUGGCCACUUUUAAGAGAAAAACACCACCAGCAUCAGUCAGCAUAUCUCCUCCAGGAUGCCCCUGUAGAGAAACUGCUCUCUGUUUCUUGAGGUUUCUAUUUAUACACUUCAUUGCCCUUUAUAAUGAAUGUCAAGAAUACAAAGAUUGAUUUGGUUUUGUCUGGGAAAGGGUUUGUUUUAAAGAUGCUAACAAAUUCAGGUAGUGGCAGGGUAUAGUUUCUAUAAGAUGAAAUUUCAAACAGCCGGUUACUGUUCUUCCAUCCCUUUGAAAGGGCCCAAACUAAACAGUCCCACAUUCAUUACAAAAGACCUCUGUAGAGUACCUUAUUAUGCAUCAUUUAGAAAGAGUAGAAGAACGCAAAUCCAGGAAUCCUUUGGAACUUCAGACUGUAUAAAUAGCCUUUCAAGAAAUGACAGUUUAAGCUAUGCUAUGCAGAAAGCAUGGCAGAGACAAUAAAUUAUUUGAACUGA